rnacentral:rRNA from 1 species
GGAUUAGAUACCCUGGUAGUCCACACCCUAAACGAUGGAUACUUUGUGCUGCGGGUAUCGACCCCUGCAGUGCAGGAGCUAACGCAUUAAGUAUCCCGCCUGGGGAGUACGGUCGCAAGGCUGAGACUCAAAGGAAUUGACGGGGGCCCGCACAAGCGGUGGAGCAUGUGGUUUAAUUCGAAGCAACGCGCAGAACCUUACCUGAGCUUGAACUGUAGUGGACGGAAGCAGAGAUGUUUCUUCUCCUUCGGGAGCUGCUAUAGAGGUGCUGCAUGGGUCGUCAGCUCGUGUCG